rnacentral:ribozyme from 15 species
AUCAAACAAUCUAAAUCCAUACACUGUAAAUAAAAAAAAAAGAUGAAGAGACGGACUAGUCAGUCUUUUUUUCUUCUGUAGUAACGUGGUACCUUUUUUUCUCUCAAUCUCUCCCACGUUCUUUCUCU